rnacentral:rRNA from 1 species
UACGUAGGGUGCGAGCGUUGUCCGGAAUUACUGGGCGUAAAGAGCUCGUAGGCGGUUUGUCGCGUCUGCUGUGAAAACUGGAGGCUCAACCUCCAGCCUGCAGUGGGUACGGGCAAACUAGAGUGCGGUAGGGGAGAUUGGAAUUCCUGGUGUAGCGGUGAAAUGCGCAGAUAUCAGGAAGAACACCCGUGGCGAAGGCGGUUCUCUGGGACGGUACUGACGCUGAGACGCGAAAGCGUGGGGAGCGAACAGG